UACGGAGGGUGCGAGCGUUGUCCGGAAUCACUGGGCGUAAAGGGCGCGUAGGUGGCGCGGGCAGUCAACGGUGAAAGUUCGGGGCUCAACCCUGAAUCGGCCGUCGAUACUCCCGUGCUUGAGCACUGUAGAGGCAGAUGGAAUUCCGGGUGUAGCGGUGGAAUGCGUAGAGAUCCGGAAGAACACCGGUGGCGAAGGCGGUCUGCUGGGCAGUAGCUGACACUGAGGCGCGACACGU
rnacentral:rRNA from 1 species